rnacentral:snRNA from 1 species
UUGCUUCAAAGGCACAUAUACAAAAACUGGAACAAUACAGAGAAGAUUAGCAUGAAGCCUGUGCAAGAAUUACAUGCAUAUUCAUGAAGUUUCAUAUUUUU